rnacentral:rRNA from 1 species
GACUAGGCACUAUUGGUCUAUCAUUUUGAUAGUACUGGUAGGAUUUGACUAGUCUUUUUUUCUAGAGACCUAUAUGCCUUUCGGGGUGUAUUAGGAGCUUCUCUAGGACUUUUACUGUGAAGAAAUUAGAGUGUUUAAGGCAGGCAUAUGCUUGAAUACAUUAGCAUGGAAUAAUAGAAUAAGACUUUGGUUUUAUUUUAUUGGUUUUAAGGACCAAAGUA